UACGUAGGGUGCAAGCGUUGUCCGGAAUUAUUGGGCGUAAAGAGCUCGUAGGCGGUUCGUUGCGUCGGCUGUGAAAUCCCGAGGCUCAACCUCGGGUCUGCAGUCGAGACGGGCGGACUGGAGUUCGGCAGGGGAGACUGGAAUUCCUGGUGUAGCGGUGAAAUGCGCAGAUAUCAGGAGGAACACCGGAGGCGAAGGCGGGGCUCUGGGCCGAUACUGACGCUGAGGAGCGAAAGCGUGGGGAGCGAACAGG
rnacentral:rRNA from 1 species